AUUGAACGCUGGCGGAAUGCUUUACACAUGCAAGUCGAACGGCAGCACGGACUUCGGUCCGGUGGCGAGUGGCGAACGGGUGAGUAAUGUAUCGGAACGUGCCCAGUCGUGGGGGAUAACGUAGUGAAAAUUACGCUAAUACCGCAUACGAACUAUGGAUGAAAGCGGGGGAUCGCAAGACCUCGCGCGAUUCGAGCGGCCGAUAUCAGAUUAGGUAGUUGGUGGGGUAAAGGCCCACCAAGCCAACGAUCUGUAGCUGGUCUGAGAGGACGACCAGCCACACUGGAACUGAGACACGGUCCAGACUCCUACGGGAGGCAGCAGUGGGGAAUUUUGGACAAUGGGCGAAAGCCUGAUCCAGCCAUUCCGCGUGCAGGAUGAAGGCCCUCGGGUUGUAAACUGCUUUUGUACAGAACGAAAAGGUUUCUACUAAUUCUAGGAGCUCAUGACGGUACUGUAAGAAUAAGCACCGGCUAACUACGUGCCAGCCGCCGCAGUAA
rnacentral:rRNA from 1 species